rnacentral:rRNA from 1 species
CGAGUAGACGCUGUGACGCUGGCGGCGUGCUUAACACAUGCAAGUCGAACGAUGAUCCUCAGCUUGCUGGGGGGAUUAGUGGCGAACGGGUGAGUAACACGUGAGUAACCUGCCCUUGACUCUGGGAUAAGCCUGGGAAACCGGGUCUAAUACUGGAUAUGACCUUCUGGCGCAUGCCAUGUUGGUGGAAAGCUUUAUUGCGGUUUUGGAUGGACUCGCGGCCUAUCAGCUUGUUGGUGGGGUAAUGGCCUACCAAGGCGACGACGGGUAGCCGGCCUGAGAGGGUGGACGGCCACACUGGGACUGAGACACGGCCCAGACUCCUACGGGAGGCAGCAGUGGGGAAUAUUGCACAAUGGGCGCAAGCCUGAUGCAGCGACGCCGCGUGGGGGAUGAAGGCCUUCGGGUUGUAAACCUCUUUCAGUAGGGAAGAAGCGAAAGUGACGGUACCUGCAGAAGAAGCGCCGGCUAACUACGUGCCAGCAGCCGCGGUAAUACGUAGGGCGCAAGCGUUAUCCGGAAUUAUUGGGCGUAAAGAGCUCGUAGGCGGUUUGUCGCGUCUGCCGUGAAAGUCCGGGGCUUAACUCCGGAUCUGCGGUG